CUCUCUCACGCAUUUUCUCUCCUCUCUCAUGCUUAAAUCUCUCUCUCUAUACGGUUUUCUCUCCGUUCAUGGUGGGUCUUUGUAUUUUUUGUGUGAAUCAGUGUAUUUUGUGUGUUUUAUGGAAGAAUCCCGUGUGGUCUGUGCGUGUAUGGAGUUUUUGUUGUGCCUCCAUGAAGAAGAAAGAGCUCCAAAAAUGGAAAAAAAGAAAAA
rnacentral:lncRNA from 1 species